CUUGCCGCUAGAGGAGCAGGUGUGGCUGCUGUGUCACAUGUGUGUCAUAGGUAGCAGAGAGAAGAGAGGCUAUGUCCUGGCUGUGUUCUAACCUAUGAACACCUGAAUGAUUAGUAGCCUAGCAAU